GUCUCCGCCAUGGGCCUGCGCCGCCUCGGGACCGGGGUCAGGGUAGGCCUGCUCGAAGCCGGGGGUGCCCUCGCUGUACAGACUGUGCGAGUAGCGGCGGUCCAGGCCGUCGGGGGGCGGCGGCGGCGGCGGCACGUAGGGCCUCUCGGGGGCCGGGUAGAAGCCCUGAGGCGGGUACUCGGGCAGCUCUUCGCCGCCGCCGUACUCCUCGUAGCGCGCCCGGGGCUGGUAGGGGUAGAUGACCCCCGCCGAGGCCACGGCCGCCGCCCCCGCGCCCACGCCGCCGCCCGCGGGCCGGUAGUACACGAAACCCUGGUCGUAGGUCCGCGACGCGGGGUCGUAGUUCUCGUACUGGCUGACGAAGGGCGCCUGCGGGUAGGGGAACUGCUGCGGGUAGGAGGGCUGCUGGCGGUAGGUGCUGGCGAAGGCCGAAGCCGAGACCGAGGAGGCGGAGCCCCCGUGCCGUUGCUGGGAGACGGAGGACUGGACCUGGAUCCUGGGCCUGCAGUCAGAUUGCCAGUUUCACUUAGAGGUGGAAAUGUCAACCCACUGGUUGGAAUGGGAAGAGACUGGGUCCCACCAUAUUGCCUGGGCUGGCCUCGGACUCUUGACCCCAAGUGAUCCUCUGGCCUCAGCCUCCCAAGCAGCUGGAUUUACAGGCAGGCACCACCGCACCGAGCUAAAAACGCCUGGCUUCCCUGGGCCUGCUGCACCUGCUCUGGCUAGGUUGGAGAGGGCUGCAGGGAGGACCGCAGUCAGCAGAGGGCGCCAAAGCCUCUCAACACAAGCAUGGCCCAGGCCUGGCCCAGAAGGAGAGCGCUGAGAGCCAGGACUGGCGGGCUACGUGCGCCCUGUGGAUUCCCCCAUUUCCCAUGCUUCAUCCAGCCAUGGGCCUGCAGUGCACUCACAAAUGUGCAUAUACCCUCCUGUGUGUGUGUUACACUCAUCAAAUUGUCUCUGAAUUUGCUUGGCUUCAUGUGUUCCUGUGUGUGUUUAUGUGUGUGUGUGGUGUGUCUGGUGUAUCUGGUUCCCCAGGAAGCACAUUUGACAGCCCCACAGUCAGGGUCAGGGCACAGGGACAGAUACUGUGUCUAUAACAAUCCAUAACACUGAUUUUGUUCAUCUCAAUAAAUGUGAGAAUGAAAUAAAAAUUAAUGUAGAAUAUUUUGUACAUCUCAAUAAAGCCACUUUCUGGGGGCAGGCAUUAUAAUUCUAGCCUCUGUU
rnacentral:lncRNA from 1 species